rnacentral:rRNA from 1 species
AUGGAGGGUGUUGUAGUACCUAUGGUGAGCUGUUCAAGAGGGUCGAUGAACUCUCUCCUCCACAAGCUCACCGAACUGAAUACUCGAAAUAUUCAGGGUUUGCCUCGAGCUCAUGUUGAACGCUUGCUGGAAGCUUUGAUGGGCCUCAGUGGGGAGUUCGUCGACAAAGUUGCCGGGCAACAGGAGGCAGAUGGGCGAGUCAAAGCGUGGAUGAAGCAAGUGAGACAGCUGGUCGUCGAUAUUGAAGACUGGGUCGAUCCAAAGCUUCGAAGAAGGAACAAGGACGAACCGGAUAAUGGAAGUUUAGAAGAACCGGAGAAUGAAAGUUUAGAAGAAGAAGAUAUCAUGACAAAUGAUGAAAUAUUGCAAGAUUUCACGACCCAGAUCGACGAGGCGUGUGAGCUAUGCACAAGGUACGAACUUGUCAAUAAAGAGCCUGCUGACCCUGUCUCGCCUGCUGAUGGCGUACCCAGCGACGAACCCCGCCGACUGCUUCUUCGGGAGACCCCUGUUGGCCUUGUUGGUGUCGAUGGUCCAACACAAGCAAUUGUGAAGAAGCUGACAGACAUGAACGCGAGCCUGAAGGUGGUAUCCAUGGUCGGAGCGGCAGGCCUUGGUAAGACUACUCUUGCCAAGAGGAUUUAUGAAGAACUUCAAGGGCAGUUCACCUGCCAGGUUUUCGUCUCUGUUGGCCAGAGAACACCGGUGAGUACCGCUCUAAUGGAUAUACUCCGUCAAGUAAAGCGGGUAGUCCCGCCAAAAAUAAAGGAAGAACAUAAGGCAAAGACGAAGGCGAAGGCGAAGGUGAAGACGAAGACGACAUCUCGUGGCAUCCAAGCCAUCAUCACUGAUCUCCGAGGAUGCCUUCGCACAGAAAGGUAUCUCAUCAUAAUCGAUGGCGUAUGGAGUACGUGGGACUGGAAAGUAAUCAAUUGUGCUUUACCAGAAAAUUACCUUAGAAGUAGGGUAUUAACAACAACUUGCAGCAUGAGUGUAGCCCAAUCCUGCUCUUUAAAUCCCAGUGAAAUCAUCCAGGUGAAGGCUCUUAGCAGAGUCAACUCUGAGAAAAUACUAAAGGGAAUGUUUGAUGUGAAUCCUCCUAGCGGAAUGGAGUCCAAGGAAAUAUUUGAUGGAGAGGCAGAUGACAUGUUGAAAAUCUGUGGUGGUGUGCCACUGGCAAUAAUUAUUGUAUCAGGCUUAUUAUCCUGGAAAUCAGCAAAACUGGCAGAGCCCAAGAUGCUUGGUAAAUCAGAUUGCAGGUCAGAAGCGAUGACAAAGAUAUUGUGCAUGAGUUAUGAUGACUUAUCGGUGCCACUGCAGUCUUGCUUCCUGUACUUGAGUGUUUUUCCCGAAGGUUAUAUCAUCAAGAAAGAUCGCUUGAUACGGCUAUGGCGUGCUGAAGGAUUUAUCCCUGGAAGUCUUGAAGAAAGCAUGUGGGCAACAGGGGAGAGAUACUUUAAAGAGCUGAUCAGUAGGAGGUUGAUUCAGCCGGUGUUGGGCUACGAAGAUGACCAUGCAGUGAGUUGUACCGUUCAUGAUGUGGUUCUUGAUUUCCUGGCAUGCUUGGCAAGCAAAGAGAAUUUUGUUACAGUGGGUGCAGAGCUAAAGCCCGUGCGACCAUUGGAAGUGGCUCUGCCAUGGUCGCUCAUGGAGAGAGCGGUUGCCGGGUUGACGCCCGAACCAUUUUUGUGUUACGAAACGGUUCGGCGAUUGUCGCUCCAGUGCUGUGUUGAAGGCAGAUCUGACAACUUGGUGUCAAGCAAUGUGCACCUAUGUAGAGUGCGAUCACUCCUAGCUUUUGGGGCCUCUAAUGGGUUACCUGAUCUUCGGGCCUUCAAACUUAUCAGAGUAUUGGAUCUGGAAGGUUCUAAGAGUACAUCAUAUUUUAUAAUUGGAAGUUUGUUCCUACUGAGAUACUUGGGACUUAAAGGGACUAGAAUCCGUAGCAAGGACAUAGAGAGAAUGGGAGAAUUCGAUCACCUGCAAACAUUGGAUAUAAGGCGAACCGGUGUGCAAGGGUUGCCUAUUCGUAUGGAUCGAAUGCCAAACCUAGUGUCUAUGCUUGGUGAUGGUCUGACAUUUGCUCCUGUCGACUUGGAGGAUCAUGCCAUAUGUUCCUAUGAUGAGCAUGUCCAAAACUUGGAGGAACUGUCCACCAUUGAUAUUACUGACGAAAGGUCGCGUGAUGAUGUGGCAACAUUGCUGUUUAGGUCGAAGAAGCUAAGGAUGCUUGGUGUGAGAGCUAAUAGAGGUGGCAAUACACAUGGUGUUAUACCUUUCCUUAAUGAGCUCCGAAAAUAUAACCUCGAGUCACUCAUCAUUGAAAGUGACCUGUGCGGUCUGGAUGAAUGGGAGCCAUGGCCUGAGCUCCGAAGAUUUGAACUGACAAAACUCCUCCCACGGGUUCCAGAGAGUUGGGCCUCACUGGACAGCCUCACCCACUUGGAUUUUGCAAUUCGUAAAAUCGAAGCAACGGAUGUUCUUGUCCUUGGUGAAUUGCCCAAGCUAACCGUUCUCAACUUGCUAUCAUGGGAGCGUGAAGGGAGUGGAAGCAUUGUCAGCAGCGUCGGAUUCCAGAGCCUUGAGGUGGCCUCGUUCAAGUGGCUCUUUGGCGGGAUGUGGCUGCACUUCCAAGAAGGAGCCAUGCCCAAGCUCCUCAAGCUUCGGCUCGAGUUCAACGCUGCAGAGACGAUGAUGGAGCAUGGCAUCGGCAAGUUCCCUUGUAACCUCACGCAAGUUGCUGUCAGCAUCAGCUGUCAAAACUCUACUCAAACGGACGUGCAGGAUGUGGAGCGUGCCAUCAGAGACCAAGUAGCUACCCACCCUAGAAGUGCCAAUCUCUCCUUGCAACUGACAAAAUAUGAGGGACCCGUCAAGAUGAAGCCGUCGGAUUAUCCACAAAGUCCGUCAGCGCUCGUGCCGUCUACAUUUUCCUAA